rnacentral:rRNA from 1 species
GAUUCGGGGUGCACCAGGCGCGAAACCUUUGCAAUACACGAAAGUGUGACAGGGCUAUCCCGAGUGCCAUCCGCUGAGGAAGGCUUUUACCCAGUCUAGAACGCUGGGGGAAUAAGGAGAGGGCAAGUCUGGUGUCAGCCGCCGCGGUAAUACCAGCUCUCCGAGUGGUGUGGAUGUUUAUUGGGCCUAAAGCAUCCGUAGCUGGCUAGGUAAGUCCCUUGUUAAAUCCACCGAAUUAAUCGUUGGAUCGCGGGGGAUACUGCUUGGCUAGGGGACGAGAGAGGCAGACGGUAUUUUCGGGGUAGGGGUGAGAUCCUAUAAUCCCGGGAAGACCACCAGUGGCGAAGGCUGUCUGCUAGAACGCGCCCGACGGUGAGGGAUGAAAGCUGGGGGAGCGAACCGGAUUAGAUACCCGGGUAGUCCCAGCUGUAAACGAUGCAGACUAGGUGUUUGGACGGCCACGUGCCGUUCUAGUGCCGCAGGGAAGCUGUUAAGUCUGCCGCCUGGGGAGUACGAUCGCAAGAUUGAAACUUAAAGGAAUUGGCGGGGGAGCACAAUCACUAGUGAAU